GAGCACGGGAACUUAACCACCCGGCCACGGGGCCGGCCCCUCCUCAAGUUAUUUAUUUAAUAUAGUCAGUAAUAAAGGUUGGGUCAUUUUUUCUAAGUCAGUUUCAGAUCUUAUUUUUUAAAAGGAACAAAUAACUUGGAAAACUUUUUGCACUCCACACAUCCAGGAUGUGUGUGAUACCGUGGUUUAUACUUUCAUGGCCAUCCCAAAGUUGUUCUAAGUAUUUGCUAUAUCUUAGCUCAAUUAAAAGUUCUGAUUCUUUUGACUGAAACAUUUGAGGGGAACUGUUAUUAGGUCUGGUGCUGGUAAAAUUUGGCAUCUGAAUAAAUUUCCAUUUUAUCCAACAUCUAUCAACUACUUAAUUACAAGGCGUAUCCCAGAGAUAUGAGGCUCCAGGAGAAGUGAAGCCUAUAGUCCUCCCCUUACACACUGAGCAUGUUGGAGCUGGGAAGAAACUGGAGGAAAUCAAGUCCAACCCCCCGACGUUACAGAUGAGAAAACUGACUAUUUGCAGCCCAACAGCUAAAGGCAGGUAUUAAUACUCAGGUGCAAUAGCUCUCACCCCAGUAUUCCUUCCACCAGCACACAAUAUGUCCUUCCUCCCACCUUUAUACAGGUGAAGUCCAGUUAAAGUCAUCAUCAAGGAUGACACAGAAGGGAAAAGAAGGGGGCAGAUACAUCCUAAAUAAUAACUGACACUGUAUAAUUUUAGGUAUUUUUCCUUGAGUUACAUCAAUUCAGAGAAAACAGAGAUAAUGAUAGCUAACAUCGCUGAUCCUUACUGUAUGCAUUUAAUGUGUGUUAUCUCAUUUAAUUUCCACAAAGCCCUCUGAUAUGGAUGCUAUCAUCGUCAUUCCUCAUUUAUAGAUGAGAAACCAGGUCGGAAAUGUCAGCUUGCCUAAGAUGCCACAACUAGAAAGUGGCACAGCAACGACUUGACUUAAGGACUCUCUGGUAGAAUCCAUCCAAUGAGGACCCCAUGGUUAUUGUCUCCCAGUACUAUCUGCUGCAGCUCCUACCUUCCACACCAUCGGCCGCAUUCGUGAGACACAAGAACCAGCCCUGUGGAAUCUGCUUCCCCAGGAACUCAACUUGCUACAACUGUCACUGUGCCAGAGAGAACUUCUGUACCUCCUCAUAUGACGCACUGUGAAGGACGCAUCACCUCUGAAGUGUCCUUCCCAUCAUGCAUGACCUCAGUCUAAUCAUGGGCAAACAUUAGGCAAAGGCAAAUUGAGGAACAUUCUACAAAAUAACUGCCCAGCACUCUUCAAAAGUGUUAAGGUCACGAAAGACAAGGAAAGACUGAGGAAUUGGCCCGGAUUGGAGGAGAUAAGGAGACAUGACAACUAAACGCAAUGUGGGAUGCUGGAUUGGGUCCCAGAACAGAAAAAGGACAUUAGUGAAAAAACUGGUGAAAUCCAAAUAAAGCCUGCAAUUUAGCUAAUAAAAUUGUACUAACGUGA